rnacentral:rRNA from 1 species
GUGAGUAACGCGUAUGCAACCUACCUAUCAGAGGGGAAUAACCCGGCGAAAGUCGGACUAAUACCGCAUAAAACAGGGACACCGCAUGGUGAUAUUUGUUAAAGAAAUUCGCUGAUAGAUGGGCAUGCGCUCCAUUAGGUAGUUGGUGAGGUAACGGCUCACCAAGCCGACGAUGGGUAGGGGAACUGAGAGGUUGGUCCCCCACACUGGUACUGAGACACAGACCAGACUCCUACGGGAGGCAGCAGUGAGGAAUAUUGGUCAAUGGGCGAGAGCCUGAACCAGCCAAGUCGCGUGAAGGAAGAAGGAUCUAUGGUUCGUAAACUUCUUUUGCAGGGGAAUAAAGUGCAGGACGUGUCCUGUUUUGUGUGUACCCUGAGAAUAAGGAUCGGCUAACUCCGUGCCAGCAGCCGCGGUAAUACGGAGGAUCCGAGCGUUAUCCGGAUUUAUUGGGUUUAAAGGGUGCGUAGGUGGUUUGAUAAGUCAGCGGUGAAAGUUUGCAGCUUAACUGUAAAAAUGCCGUUGAAACUGUCGGAUUUGAGUGUAAAUGAGGUAGGCGGAAUGCGUGGUGUAGCGGUGAAAUGCUUAGAUAUCACGAAGAACUCCGAUUG